rnacentral:misc_RNA from 1 species
GUUUCUUUAGACUUCCAAAUGGACACUUAAGCUCGUCAACCUUCAAAUUUAAGAACUAAGCUAGAUAAUAUAGUUGAUUAAAUUUUUCAUAUUUUGAUAUCCAAGGGAAGAGAACCAUUGGAAACUAUUUCAUUUUAUACUCAUACACGGAGUAUAAAUUUUAGUUAACUUAAAAGUUUGCAAGUAGGCAAAUUAUAAGUAUGUGAAUUGAUCAAGGGCUAGAUAACUGCUUGUAGUUUGGCACUUUCGUUUCCAUAAAUCCUUGGCACUUAACAAUUGGUGCUUAUCAUGAUAGCUUGAGUGGUAAUUCUAUUAUUUGGAAAGCACUUACCGAUUACAAGCACAUGCUAGUUCUGUAGUCAAUUUUUAAAUGAUUUGUAUUAUGUGCAACUUGUUUGCCUAUUUGUGAUACUCAAUAACAAUUGAUACACACAUAUUAUGAUUCAGUAAUGUUUUUUUGGCUGAUCAUCUUAGCUCCUUCAUGUUUAGCUUAGUGGUUGUCUAUAAAUUUGUCCACUCCUAAAAGGGCAAGGAUGCAGUGUCUCCUAUCCUGUG